rnacentral:tRNA from 1 species
GCCGGGAUGGCCGAGCGGACUAACCUUAAAGAAAAAUAGGGUUUAAAGGCGCAGGCCUUGAGAGCCUGUGGCCCCUUUAGGGCCUCGUGGGUUCAAAUCCCACUCCCGGCGCCA